rnacentral:rRNA from 1 species
GACGAACGCUGGCGGCGUGCCUAAUACAUGCAAGUAGAACGCUGAAGGAGGAGCUUGCUCUUCUGGAUGAGUUGCGAACGGGUGAGUAACGCGUAGGUAACCUGCCUGGUAGCGGGGGAUAACUAUUGGAAACGAUAGCUAAUACCGCAUAACAGUAGAUGUUGCAUGACAUUUGCUUAAAAGGUGCAAUUGCACCACUACCAGAUGGACCUGCGUUGUAUUAGCUAGUUGGUGGGGUAACGGCUCACCAAGGCGACGAUACAUAGCCGACCUGAGAGGGUGAUCGGCCACACUGGGACUGAGACACGGCCCAGACUCCUACGGGAGGCAGCAGUAGGGAAGCUUCGGCAAUGGACGGAAGUCUGACCGAGCAACGCCGCGUGAGUGAAGAAGGUUUUCGGAUCGUAAAGCUCUGUUGUAAGAGAAGAACGAGUGUGAGAGUGGAAAGUUCACACUGUGACGGUAUCUGACCAGAAAGGGACGGCUAACUACGUG